rnacentral:lncRNA from 1 species
UUUUUCUUUUUUCUUUUUUUUUAACUGCCACACCCAUAGUAUGUGGAAGUUCCCAGGCUAGGGGUCGAAUUGGAGCUGCAGGUGCUGGCCUACAUCACAGCCGCAGCAAUGCCAGAUUUGAGCUGCAUCUGUGACCUACACCACAGCUUAUGGCAAUGCUGGAUCCUUAACCCACUGAGUGAGGCCACAGUAUUCAGUAUUCUGCAUCCUCAUGAAUACUAGUCAGAUUUGUUUCUGCUGCACCACAACGGAAACUCCAUGGGCUGGCUUUGUGUUGAGCAAGAAGGGUAUAGGAGAGAGAGGAAGCUAAGAUUACUCCCAGGUGAGUAAUUUGGGACCUAAUGGCACCACACACGUUAGAAACAUAGACUAGGGAAAAAUUUGGCUGGUGUGAAUGGAUAUCAAGAGUUCACUAUGGAUACGUGGAGUGUAAAUAACAGAUUGGAAAUUUUGAUGUAUACACUCGAAAGAUAAUUGGGAAUAUCAGCAUGGAAUUCAAGAGUGAGACCUGGGCCAAGUGGCGUGAGAAUGAAUAGAAUACUGGGGGUAUACUCAGGAUACAACAUCUAUCUCAGAAAGAUUGCUACACAUUCUUGGGAUUCCCUCAAGGGUCAUUUUCAGCAGCUGCAAGGGAACAGGGAGAAGACUGAAAUUGAAGCAACUAGAGUCUGUGAUACGAGAAGGGGGGAUAGAGGAUUCCUAGAUCAUCGUUUUUUGCUGUUUCCUUGAUGCUAUAGUUGGAGCAGCUAGAAUAGGUGGUGGGCAUCUUUGCUGAACUAUUACCUCAUUUGGAGGAAACUACUUCCCUAGGGGUCAAAACAGUUCUCCACAAUUAGCUUUCCUGUGAAUAACAACAGCUGACCACUUUUGAGUGCUUAAUAUAUCAUGUAUCCUUUGAGUCUAAAACGUCCCUAAAAAGUAUGCUGCUUGCAGUGAAUGGGUUAUAGUUUGGUGGAACAUAUGCUCUGUUGCAGAGUAAAAUAUCAGUUUCUGCCUAGUGUACCAAUCCCAGUGUUGUUAUUGAUGUAUCCAAUUUUAUUCUCUGAAGGGCCCACAUCUGCAUGAUAAAUUAUAUGGUCCUACUAGCUAUAAAUGUGCUAAGAUAUUGAUCCAUUCAAGGAGGCUGGACAGCUUAUCAUGGUUGGGAAACCCCAAGUUAGUAUCCCCUGGCUUCAUCCAUUUGCCUUGGUGCGCUAGGCAAAUUACAAUUUUUUUUUUUUUAUGUUGCCAAGAUGUGAAGAGGUAGAGAAUCUGGGGAACUUGCUUGGGAUUAUUAUUCCAAAUUUAGAGAUAAGGAUAUGGGUUAAGUGGCACAACCAAGAUCAGAUAGGAAUAGAGAAGAUAAAAAUGCAAUCCCUCUAAAUGGUUUCACAUUGCUUUCCAAGAAUCCUCCUAUUAAAAAUAGCAUCUGGUUAAUUCAUUCUAUGCCCAGGGAUGCCAAUCACAGACUCAUUCUCUUUAAGCUGAAAUCAUUUUGUGACAAUGAUAUCAGAAAGUAUUCACCUUUUAAGACUCUAUCAAAAAGAGAAAUACUUCUUACUUUUUGGAAACAAUUGCACCAUUUGAGACCCAACCAAGUAUUUCAGAGGAGCCUUAAAACAAAUGAACUAGAACCUGAUAUAGAGUGUAAUUUAUUCUGCACAUUAUUUCCAUUUAUGUGGUUCCUGACAUUGAAUCUUCAAGUCACAAUGAAACACUGCUUUAUUCUCAAGCAUACUCUUAAAAUCAUUUGACUUAGACGAUUUACAAAAAGUAGUUGAAAAACACAAUCUGGUAAAGACUUAGACUAUUUCUUUCUAUUGUAACCGGUCAUACAAAGUUUUUCCUAAAUACUUACCUAUACAUUUCAGUCCCUAAAACUAGUUAUAGUAUUCAGCCAGAGUAUUUCUUUUUGCAAAGUAUAAAUUCAAUGAAACUAAGUCAAUGAAGAAAAAAUUAAAUCAAAUAGGAUUAUGUAAAGAAACUUCCUACCCUAACUUGUCCAGAGUUAUCUAGUUACUAAGUGAAAGAGUAGGGGAUUAAAGACAGGUUUAGAGGAUUUCAAAGCCUAGGGCUUUGAGAUGAAGUUCACAGCUGUCCUCCGUGAUUUAUGCCACUCAUCUGGAUUCCCAUCCCCAUGAGACUUAAUUUCUCAGAGCUGACUCAAAUCCCAUUCUUUGAAUUCCCUUUCUGACUACAACUUCUUAUUGUUCUCUAAUUCAACCAAAUAUUUUCUUCAACAUCAUUAUAGUUUCCAGUUUCUCAGUCUCCUCUCUCUCCCUAAUCUAAAACCAUCAAUCUAUUUCUGGUUUUACUUUCCUAUACUAGCCAGGUAGUACCUUUUGGGCAACUAUUGCAACAAAGCUUUCCCCAAUACUAUCUGAUUCCUUUUCUAGCUAGUCUGGGUAACUUAAACCCACCCUUUCAAUGGGAUUCCUUUAUGUGAAGCAAUACAAUUAUCCAGAUAAGAACCUGGAGACUUGAGGGCCUUUGUCAUUGGAAUAGAGCAUUUAAGCAUUGUAAAUAAAAUGCCAUCAUCCAGAAAAUCUGGUCCACAUGAUCCUAUUUAUUCUAAUCCAUUAAAUGCAUGGUGAAAUAUGUUUAGCAGAUGAAUGUAAGCCCCUACAGAUAGCAGCUGCUCAAUUCUUUUUGAGUAUAAAUAGUAUUUAAUAUCUUAAUGGAAGAGUAAUUUAUUCACUCACAGAAUUUAAACUUUAAAAAGUUUCUCCUAGUACUAUGAAACAUAUCUUUGAAUAACCAAAUUAUUUUAGAAAUUUCACCAGGAGAUAUUUAAGUUGUAUUAUUUUAAUAUAACUGUUUAAAGAAAUAGCAGGCUAGUGCUGUUUUAUUAAUAUAUUUUAAAGAUCUUCCUAUGAAAGUAAUAAAAUUUAUCAAUUUAAAUAUCACAUACGUAAUAAAAAGUACUAAAAUUUUAUGAAUACAUAUACUAAAAAGUAUACACAUGUAUACUCAUUCCAUAACAUCAAAUAUAUAAGUGAAUAUUGAUAUUUAUGAAGUGGGACUAUAAAUUAACUAGACAUAUUUUCCCCAAGCUGCCCAUAAAUAUAAGACUAGUUUCAUUAUUUAAUGAUAUUUGCUUUGUAAAACAGAGUAAUAGAACUUUAGAAUAAAAGUGAUUAGCAGAUUCAGUAUGGAUUUGAUCUUUACCUCUGUCAAAACCCAAAUGAUCAGGUUUUAGUGUCAUAAACUGUAAAUUAUGAAUA